rnacentral:rRNA from 1 species
CGGUUUGGGUGGCGGACGGGUGAGUAACGCGUAAAGAACUUGCCUCACAGUUAGGGACAACAUUUGGAAACGAAUGCUAAUACCUGAUAUUAUGAUUUUAGGGCAUCCUAAGAUUAUGAAAGCUAUAUGUGCUGUGAGAGAGCUUUGCGUCCCAUUAGCUAGUUGGAGAGGUAACGGCUCACCAAGGCGAUGAUGGGUAGCCGGCCUGAGAGGGUGAACGGCCACAAGGGGACUGAGACACGGCCCUUACUCCUACGGGAGGCAGCAGUGGGGAAUAUUGGACAAUGGACCAAAAGUCUGAUCCAGCAAUUCUGUGUGCACGAUGACGUUUUUCGGAAUGUAAAGUGCUUUCAGUUGGGAAGAAAAAAAUGACGGUACCAACAGAAGAAGUGACGGCUAAAUACGUGCCAGCAGCCGCGGUAAUACGUAUGUCACAAGCGUUAUCCGGAUUUAUUGGGCGUAAAGCGCGUCUAGGUGGUUAUGUAAGUCUGAUGUGAAAAUGCAGGGCUCAACUCUGUAUUGCGUUGGAAACUGUAUGACUAGAGUACUGGAGAGGUAAGCGGAACUACAAGUGUAGAGGUGAAAUUCGUAGAUAUUUGUAGGAAUGCCGAUGGGGAAGCCAGCUUACUGGACAGAUACUGACGCUAAAGCGCGAAAGCGUGGGUAGCAAACAGGAUUAGAUACCCUGGUAGUCCACGCCGUAAACGAUGAUUACUAGGUGUUGGGGGUCGAACCUCAGCGCC